GGUGUCGCUCCAGAAUGCAGUACCCUCAGGGUGUCCAGCUCAGGUCCUUUCAGUUUGUAGACUCCGCUCCACCCAAUUUAGCAUCUCUUUCUCCCCAUCCGACCCUCAGUUCUUCCCACUUUUAUUUGCCCACCACCACGCAGGCUUAUAUCUUCUCUUCUUCAACAAAGACCCACUCUCCCGGGCCUAACUUCCCUUCGGACUCGAAUUCUGACUUUGUUCCUCUUCCUUACUCUUCCUCUCUCCCAAGAUCGUCUUCUUGCGUUGGCCAAAAACAUACUUAUUUUGGUGAAAAACUUCCCUCUCCACACUCCAUCUUUCCCUCCAACUGUCAGCUCUGUCUCUCCUCCUCUUACUGGCUCCUCCUCUUUCCCAGCUACAAAAUUCCUUUCCUCACUCCUGCCAGUCCCGUUCCCACCUCCAGGACUUUCAAGUUCCAAGAUCACUUCCCCCGGCCCCAGCUCACCUCCUCGAGAGACUCAGGGUAACAAGCAAACAUGGCAGUGUCCUCAGUCCAGAAGCAUCCGGGCCUGGGGGUUGGGGGUUUGGGGACAGAGGGAGGCAUGGGGAUGUGUGCUAAGCAAGGUGGACCCUGAAGAAUUCAAGGACCCAGGGGCCCUUACCCGGGCCCUGGUGGUCCAUGUGGUGGCACCGCAGAAUUGCAAGAGACCUGCAGAUACAGUUUCUGCAGCACAUGUUGCUCGGCACACCCUGGCUGGCCCAGUCGUGGAGUACCCCAUAUGUCUAGUGUGCUUCCAGACCCUCACUCCAUCUUGCCCCAUCCCCAAGUACAAGACUAUACUCUGGCUGUUUGUCUUCCUUCAACUACUGCCUUGUGCCCAGGGCCAGGAAUCUGGGUCUCUCUGAAUAGGAAUUGGCUUCGGCCUCUGCCUGCCUCGGGGACAUGCCAAUACUUUGCAUCUGCUGCCCCCACUCCCCACCUCCGCAAAAAAAAUAAAAUAAAAUAAAAAUAAAAUAAAAUAAAAAUCCGGAGGGAGUAGAAUUUCAGGAAGAGGCCCUCCAGAGUAAAAAAAAAAAAAAAAAACAACGGCAACCCAGGCAUCAGUUCAAAUCGCCCGCACACUCUUCCAGGCCAGGAGUCUCCAGUCUGUAGAGCUUCAAUCACCAAAACCCAGCCAGUGUUCCAGGUCUCUACUUCAGGAGCCAUGACAGGCCACUACGUCGCCAAAGCCCAGGCCUUCUGUAUCAAAGAGGUCUGUGUUUCUACAGUCUAUUUUCUGAAAGUCGCCAUCU
rnacentral:lncRNA from 1 species